UACGUAGGGGGCAAGCGUUGUCCGGAUUUAUUGGGCGUAAAGAGCGUGUAGGCGGCCGCACAGGUCCGUUGUGAAAACUGGAGGCUUAACCUUCAGACGUCGAUGGAAACCGUGCGGCUAGAGUCCGGAAGAGGAGAAUGGAAUUCCUGGUGUAGCGGUGAAAUGCGCAGAUAUCAGGAAGAACACCCGUGGCGAAGGCGGUUCUCUAGUACGGUACUGACGCUGAGACGCGAAAGCGUGGGGAGCGAACAGG
rnacentral:rRNA from 1 species